rnacentral:rRNA from 1 species
AUUGAACGCUGGCGGCGUGCUUAACACAUGCAAGUCGAGCGGUAACGCGGGGGCAACCCUGGCGACGAGCGGCGAACGGGUGAGUAAUGCUUCGGAAUCUUCCCAUUGGUGGGGAAUAAC